UGCGGAGGGUGGGGUCUGCACCGUGGCAGCAGCAGGACCCACCCCUCCCCAGGAUAUAUAAGCAGGUAGCUGCUGGGAGUGGACAUUCUUUUUCAGUGAAGGAGGCACCUGUAAGUUGUCACACUUCGGCAAGUGACCCCAGUUAAACUCAUUGGUUCAUGGAAGCUCCACUUAGACUCGUUUGCUGUAGGAGCCCUAUCUGGGGUGAGCAACAGGUUGCUCACGUUUCCUCCGGAAAAGCUAAUGCAACAAUGUAGCAUUUAAGUUGUUUUAAGAAAGAUCUGUUUGACUUGGCGCUGCAAGAUGUAUCUAUGUUGGCACCAAGUGCUGUGAAGUCAUCCUGAACCAAAGAGAGUUGAAAACCACACCAAGAAAGCAAACGCAUGCGUGCACGCCCACACACACAACCAACCGGAAGAGAAAUUCCAUAAGUGAUAACAGACUUAAUUUUCUUAGGCACGGCUUCAAAAGUUACUGGGUCACAAUUGUGAUAUGGCUUUUAAUGCUGUCCAGUCAGACGUCAAGUUCCUCAGUCAAAUAUCAAGUUAGGAAUAGCUUAUCCAUCAGCAGGUCACCAGGCUACCGCAAAGACGAGGCUUUUCCCUCUGUGAAGAAGUCUUCCCGUUCCUGGACAUCAAAUUCACUCCUUUUUGGUCAGUACUAGGGAAUUUGGAGAUUUGCUGGAUUACUAUUUCUUUCCCAAAACAAACAAACAAACAAACAAAAAUCAUUUUAGUCUUUCCUUUUAAGUAGGCCGGCCUCUGUCAGGAAUUCUCUGACAGUUGGGAUAGUAGGACACGUGAGUCACUGUGAACACUGCAGGGGAUGUGUUGCUGCCAAUCAACAAGGUGUGCUCCUGUGCGCAGAACUAAAAUAGCCUCAGAUGACAGAGAGAGUAGAUUAUUCCUUAAGCACCGAGUGGGGGAUGGGACCCUUGAAAAGGCAGGGGUUUCACACAUCUAGACAUCCAAAAUCAGACCUAAGGGAUGGUGCAGGGGGCAGACUUGGGGUUGCCCCUCCAUACACAGGGCACACAGUGGUCUGGAGAGAAGAAAUAUUCUAUGAGCAAGUCUGAUAUGCCAGGCCAGGAGAUGACGUCCAUUCAACUCCCAACUCCGUGACAGCAGGACAACUCUCAAAAACCUGGAGACGCCACAGAACAGUGUCAGGGAAUCAAGCAGACCCAGGUUCAAAUCCUACCUUGAUCCCUCACUUGCCAUGUGGUUUUUUUUUUUUAAAGAAAUUAUCUAAAAUAAAGUCAAGUCAAGUUGAUACUGUGACAUUGCUUGUAAUCCUAACCCUCAGGAGGGGAAGACAGGGGGACCACAGGGAGUUCAAGGGCUGCUGGAACUAUGUGGGAGUCAGACAACUCAGCAACGGUAACGAUGCUACAUUAGAGUGACAAUAGGAAAAAACCACCCAGUGAAUGCCCAGCACAGAGUCAACAGUACACACUACUAAGGACAUUUUCUUAAAUGACAUUUUGUAAGACAUAAUAGGCGCUCUCGUUCUCUCUCUCUCUCUCUCUCUCUCUCUCUCUCUCUCUCUCUUUCUCUCUCUCUCUCUCUCUCUCUGUGUUUUACAGUAUGAAGGUGUAAUGACAGAAGGACUCUAAAUGUGAAAAUCUAUGUGUGAUCAGGAAAGUAUUAGUCGGAUAGAAUUCAACAUACUUGUUAAAAUCCGCUAACUUCAAGACUGAGCAAUGGCUAAAUAUUACUACUGCUACCAAGCUCUCUUCUUCUAGGCCGAUUCCCACGUCCUUGACUAAGCCAAGGUUUUCUUAAAGUACUUUUUUUCAUUUUAUGCCUAUGGACGUUUUGUCUACAUACGUAUGUACCAUGUACAUGCAGUACUCGUGGAGGUCAGAAGAGGGCGUUGGAUCUCCCGGAGCUGGAGUUACAGAUGUUUGUGAGUUCUGUGUGGUGGGAAUCGAACCCAGAUUCUCCGGAAAAGCAGCCAGCGCUCUUAACCACUGAGCCAUCUCUCCAUUUCUCUUAACCAGCCUGGGUUAAAUCUAAUUGUAGUAAUUAGUCUACAGUACAGAGCGCUCAUCCAAUCCCUCUUGCUUUGAUAGUGGAAACUUUUGGCUAUGUUCUGCGUUCUUUCUCACUCUGAGAAGUGGGUUAAAACUUCAUCAGUUCCCCCCCCCCCGCACCCUACCCCCGCUUCUCAGCACCUGCCCUAAUAUUAAAGACAAGCCAAUGUGAGCCACAGAGCAACAAAAUAUUAAACUCAACACACGUAGCUGGCCCGUUGUGCGCAGUGUAUCUGCGAUCUUUGGUUAGAAAGUAAGGUGGGCUUAAAAUUUGGAGGCUUUAAAGCACAGCUCUUGUUGGACUAUUCUACAGUACACUGGUUAAACCAGGUUUAUCCUGGGCACCGUGGCCAAGCAAAAGCCACCAGGUUGAGGUGUAGAUGCGACUGCAGAAAGCCUCCUUCCCCAGGGAGAGUCCCACAGAGCAAUUUCCUCUUGCAGCAUUCCAAAUGAGCAGGGCUGCUCAUGUGGGAAAGUGCAUCGGUCCUCUGCGCUCCAGUUCAGCGCACAGUGUUCGUGUACAGGGCAGUGUGUCACGGAUCUCUCCAAGGCCUCGGGGACAGGGAUCUAUCAAACUCUCCGCACCUAACUUUGUCUGGGAACAAACCCUCUUUGAAAACACAACGGGGCUGGAGGAACACGAAGCGUGGGGAUGUCGUCAGCUGUUGGUGAGACGGUCCUCCUCCCCCACCUCUUCCCGGGAGGGAAGCGACCGGACGGCGCGGCCCCGCCCAGCCCCACCCACCGGCUCCACAAAGCCACUGCCCAGGCGCGCGUGUCUCCCGGGGCAAUGGAGGGGUGAGCAGAGCUGGUACCUUAGGAAGAGGCCGCGAUGCCAGAGCCCGGGACACCCGCAGCAUCGCACCGCCGCCGCCAGAUGCUCCACCCAGGGCCGCCGAGUUGCGCCCUCCCCGUUGCCCGCGCCGCGCUCCGCCGCUGCACCCGCUCGGCUGCCCGGCGACCGCCACUGUCAAGUGCAGCCCCGCCCCCGGCGCCGGCCCCAGACGCUGGCUCAUUGGCUGAGGGAGUGGCUGGCUCCGCCCCUCAGGGCAGGCCCUUUCUAGGGGCGCGCUAGAGGGUGGGGAACCAAGCUGGGCGAGGCUUCCUGCGGGCACCGGGAGCUUCUGCUUUGCCAACCCAGAAAUAGACAGCUCCAAAGAAAGGCGAGAGAGGAAGCGUCUUCUCUAGGGCGAGGGCCGUGGCUCCUCGAGACGGGUUCCCUAGGGUGGAAUAUUGAAAUCAUAGCUAGAGGGCUGGGGGGUUGGGUGAUUCUGUGGGCUUGCUUUAAAAAAAAAAAAACCAACUUGAAAUUGCUCUCACACACUUCAACUUCUUCAUCCUACGGAGCAGCUAAACCAAUUCAAAUAACCUGCAUGGCCAAGGUCACCGAGCUGGUCGUAUUGCAGACUCAACACUGUUUGGGUUUUACACUUAGGCUCACGGAGAGGUUGUUCUAAUGUACUGUGUGCUGUCUAGCAAGCGCUUAAUUGAAACUGCAGGGUAUGUCAGAGGUUGCAGGAGUGGGUGGAGCGGCACAUAAUUGGGAGUGCUUGCUAGUGAAUGGGCUUCAUUUGAGGAGACAGGAACACCAUGCGCCUUUUUUCAGUGGCACUGGACACCGGCCUCUUGACUGUGUUGUAAGUCCCCUGGACCAUACAUUUUUUUUAAGACGUGAACUUUAUGAUAGGUGGUUACUUCUGAUAAAAACAGUUAUAAAGUGUAUUGAGUAGAUCGCGUUCAAUAACAACCACGUGGAUUCAUAAAGUGUGCAACAGCGUGGUCCAUUAUGAGCAGAAAUUAGGAUUUGGUGCCAUUCACAGAAGCAUCGGUAACUCGCUGCCGUUUUCACCAACCGAACUCAACAGGGCAAAGAUUCAAAUGUGUCCCACUGUGCCCAGCCUGUACUAGGAAUACCCUCAGUGUUAACCAAUGACUCUAGCCAAGCAUGAAGGCCACUGUGGGAACCCCAGCUAAACAGCCACUGGAANCAGAGCGGACAUGGCCCAGAGCUCAGUUCGAUACAGAAAGCUUAUGAAGGAAUACAUUUGGGGUUCCUUCUCUGUUUUCCUAACCCUGUGCAGUAUGUGAUGUUGGUAAUAGGCCUCGUUUAAACCGCUAUCAUUACCUAUAUCAGAUCAAAGGAAGCUCUCAUCAACCUGGGUUUCAAACCUUAUAGAUAUCAGCAAUUUUCUGAAUUAGGAUUCUGAACUAGAUCAGAGUGGACAGAUAACUUCUGAGUGCUCGGGCUGGAGGCCUGUGUCUCCUGACCAUGUGUCACUGUUCUUUGCUUUGUCAUCCUACAGAGUUGUGAAGCUUCCUCGGAUGUGCAAAGCACUCGAGCUAAGGAAGCAUUCAAUGUAAUGACUGGUGGCCUGUUUGAUUGGGAAGUAGAAAUAUGACUUAGGACAAAAACCUAGUUAUUCAUCUACCUCCCUGGCAAAAUCCUGGGUCCUGGUCUGGGUAUGUGUUGGUGCUGGAAUAGAGAGGUUGUUCAGUGGUUAGAGCGCUGGCUGUUCUUGCAGAGGACCUGGGUUCAGUUCCUAGCACCCACAUGGCAGCUUACAACCAUCUGUGGCUCUGGUUCCAGGGGAUAUGGCGCCCUCUUCAGGCCUCAUCAGGCAUUGCAUGCAUGUGGUUCACCGACAUAUUCAGGCAUGAAACAAGGUGCAUGCUCACUUCAACUCCCUUUGCUUCCACAUCUCCUUUUGUUCCUCAUGAGAUCCUAACCCUCUUAAAAGCAGGCCCUGUGCUGUGUUUUGAUAACCUCACUUGUCUCUCUCUGCUUGUCAUUCUGUCCUGUUCCCCAUCCUCUUUAGGGGUUGGGUGAGUGGCCAGUGCAGUUCUGUCAUAAUCCCGGAAGACAGGAAGUCCGUUUCUCCACACUGACAGACAACAGUGCUGACAUGCAUUAAGACAUUUAGAAAUUAAUUGGCCCACGUUGCAUUUCUGCUCCCGUGCUUUGGGACAACCGCAGAGACACGAGAGAAUUGCAUCAACAUUUUCUAAGCUUUAACAAGCUGUGGGCUGAAUGCUAAGUCUAAAUGGCUGAAGUCUAAGGCAGUCUUGGUCUAAGAAGUCACAAUGCUAAUGUGUUGGCCAUCAGUAAUUUAAAUGUUUGCAAAAGAAAAUUUUGAUUUAUAGAUGUGGGAUCUUUAAUCUCUGAGAUUAAAUUCCCACUCAAUAAUUUUACUACCUUUAAAGGCUUCUUGAAAUUUGUUCUUGUUUACCUCCUUUUCGGGGAUCACAGAUAUUAGGCAAGCACUUUACAGUGAGCCACAUCCCCAAAUCCUCNUAGCCUUUCAAUACCUCUGGUUAGGUACACACACACACACACACACACACACACACACACACACACACACGGAUUCCUUUCACAAGAAUCUUACAUCUACCACAACAGCCUUACAAUUGUCUGUCGCUAAGUUUCUGUGCAAAAAUCUUGGAUGCCAAAAGAAUGGAGGUGUAUUAAUCUCCCUGGAGUCCAAAGCCCAGGAAAAACAAGGGGGGAAACUGAAGUUAUUUCUCUUGCAGGAGCAGAUGCUGUCUCACCCCCAGGGAGUUAUGGGUUGGAAGAAAUGAGAUAAUAAAACUAUACAUGCUACUUUGUGAACUAUGUCAAGCAGGAUCAGCAAUAGAUCGGCAAGUGAAUGGAUACACUUCUUCCCUAGAACCAAGGGCCAAUGAGCACUAAGUACGGAUUUCUCCAUCUAACUAGAGGAAAGUAAACCGAGCAAGAAGGCUGACCUAAUUGAGCCCCGCAUGGUAGCCUGUGGGAACCAGAAAGCAUAUUGCCGGCUUAGCUCAGCUGGGUGUCAGCUGUUCAGCUCUGCCCUACAGCCCGGGUUGUGCAGCCCUUUCCAGCGCCUUCCCCUGUCCAAGGUCACAGCCCAGAGUUAAGGGCACAAGCAUCUGUUGCCCCUUGCUCUGCUCACGGGAUUUGUGUCUGUAGAUGAAAAGACAAGAACAAUAGGGCCUACAAAGUAACCAAACCACUUGCUUCCUGACAAGCCGUUUGCCUCCUAGUACUCUCAACCUACUAGUUGGGCUUCCUUAUCUUUCUGGGAAAACCAGUCCACCUUGCAGACAGGAAUCACGCCAAGACGUAGGGGUAAUCUGAUGGAAAAGGGUGCGGUUGGACCUGUAAAUGGGAACCUACAAGGUUUUAAACUGAAGAAACCAGCAGUAGAACACACUGUCUGUAGACGGUGAGUGGUAGACAGCGCUCUCCUAGCUGAGAUAGGAACACAUGAGUCUAUAGGGAUAACUCCGAGAGCAUCCUGAUGUAGGAGAUACGGAGCUGACAGGGAAACAUGGAGGAGCCUAAAAGUCUGAGAAGCUGAGAAGAAUGGUCCACGCUGAAUAACUGAAUAACUGGUGUGUAAAGAUGUGCCCUGGCCUCAGGGAAUCGUGCCUGAAAUACACGUUUCUGUCAGCCUAAACUAAAUUGCUUAUCUCUGCCUUUUAAAUAUGUCCAGAUUCCCCCUGCCUUGGGAAACUGGAUAUAGACUUAAGAGAGAACAGACAUAGGCUUGAAAUACCCCGGCAGUUACCAUAGAGAAAAGGAAAAUUAACAAUUUUUAUAUUAUGAGGAAGAGAAGCAUAAUAUAUAAUUACUCAGAAUCUCCCACAAAGAGGCUCUUCUGUGAACAAAAAGAAUAGAUAUCCCGGGCUGGGGAUUUAGCUCAGUGGUAGAGCGCUUACCUAGGAAGCGCAAGGCCCUGGGUUCGGUCCCAGCUCCGAAAAAAAGACCCAAAAAAAAAAAAAAAAAAAAAGAAUAGAUAUCCCAAAGGCAACUACUGUUGUGACAUUUAACUGGGAAUGCAGCCAAAAACUUGAGGUAGGAUCACAGCCCCUUCCUUUCUUGUGAAAAACUUUGGGGGCCAAUUAACUCACCCAAAGUGGUGGUUGUGUUUCCGGCUACCUUAGAGCGGUGGUUCUCAACCAGUGGGGGGCGACCCCCACGUGGGUUGUAUAUCAGAUAUUUACAUUACGACCCAUAGUAGCAGCAAAUUUACAGUUCUGAAGUAGCAAUAAAAUAAUUUUAUGGUUGGGGCCACCACAACAUGAGGAACUAUAUUAAAGGGUUGCAGCAUUAGAAAGGUUGAGAACCACUAGGCUAGAGGAUGACACAGGACACCCAUGGAUGUAUAUUGAUAAAGGUUAACGAGGCCAUCUUUCAGAUGAAUGGUUUGAAGGUGUUUCUUAUUGUAUCUAAAUAUCUCUCAAAAAAGAGUUCCGGGCGAGAGAGAUGGUUCAGCGGUUAAGAGCACUGGCUGCUCUUCCAGAGGUCCUGAGUUCAAAUCCCAGCCGCCACAUGGUGGCUCACAACCGUCUGUCAUGGGAUCCAAUGCCCUCUUCCGGAGUGUCUGAAGACAGUGACAGUGUAUUUACAUACAGUAAAUAAUAAAAAAAAGAAUUUCA
rnacentral:lncRNA from 1 species